AGCGAACGCUGGCGGCAGGCCUAACACAUGCAAGUCGAACGAACUCUUCGGAGUUAGUGGCGGACGGGUGAGUAACACGUGGGAACGUGCCUUUUGGUUCGGAAUAACUCAGGGAAACUUGUGCUAAUACCGAAUGUGCCCUUCGGGGGAAAGAUUUAUCGCCAUUAGAGCGGCCCGCGUCUGAUUAGCUAGUUGGGGAGGUAACGGCUCACCAAGGCGACGAUCAGUAGCUGGUCUGAGAGGAUGACCAGCCACACUGGGACUGAGACACGGCCCAGACUUCUACGGGAGGCAGCAGUGGGGAAUCGUGCGCAAUGGGCGAAAGCAUGAAGCAGCCAUGCCGCGUGAAUGAUGAAGGUCUUAGGAUUGUAAAAUUCUUUCACCGGGGACGAUAAUGACGGUACCCGGAGAAGAAGCCCCGGCUAACUUCGUG
rnacentral:rRNA from 1 species